ACAUUUAACAACGACGAAUACGAUAUCUCCAGUAUAUGUUUUUAUUCGAGUAAAUCACUUACAAAUGCAAAAAAGGUGAAGCUUUAAUAACGAAUACGAUAUUCCCAGUACAUAACGAGUUACCUGCUGUACUGUCGAGUUGCAUGCUAUAUGUUUUUAUUAAAGUAAAUCACGAACAAUUUCCAAAAAGGUGAGGCUUUGAUAACGACAUACAUAAUUUGUCGUAUUUCGAAAGUUUCGGACUGUUAUUUCACUCAGAACUCUAGAAAAAAACUAUAUCGACUUUUUUCCCACGGUCACGUGAUUGAUGACGUCAUAUUUUAAAAGUUAAUAAUUGUAAAAUCCUAUGUGCUAUUUGUCAUAUUUCGAAAGUUUCGUAAUGUUUUCUCAAUAGGAACUCGAGAAAAUGUUUUUUCCACGGUCACGUGAUUGAUGACGUCAUGAGAAUAACUGAUACGGCGUUGUCUUCGUUAUAAAAUUUGUACACUUAUGUUAAAGUUUGAUGAUUAUCGGUGAAAAUGGGACGUAGAUAUUGCGACAAUAUGUAACGACUUGCCUGCUGGAACGUUCAAAAUAAUCACAAAGUCACUCUUCGCGCUUUUCAUUUCCGUCAAUUAUUGCGGUCCCUUUAGGUGUGCAUGGAAAGCCCCUGGUUCCACCCGAGAGUGAUUAAAGAAAAACUUGGACCAUUCAGGACGCCUUUAGUGAGAAGGUAUUUCUUGGCCGGAAUCCUCCAAUUCAACAACACGAUGUGUGAAGCAGUCGGCUACAAAGGGGACUUGCACAAGUGCUCUGUAUGCUCUGAGUGAUAGUGCCAUGAAAAUAGCCAAAUGAGGAAUAGAUAUGGUUUCGUUAGCAAUAUAUUAGGGCUGGAAAAAGGCUUGAUUAUAAUUACUGGGGUUUCAUUAUUCUGUGAAUUCUCGCUGAUGAUUUUCAAUAGCUAAAUAGUAUUUUGCCUUUUGUCGUGCAAAAUCAUUGAAGCGUUUUCGUUGAUCAGUAAAAAAAUGGUUUCCAGUCACCUUCCGCAAGGCGCUGGCCAAUCAAAAAACACCAAAUGUGAUUCGGUUAUUUUGAAUGACAGGAGCCAGAAAGCAUAUUAGCUCUUGGAAAUUUAUUGACGAGAGUUCGCUUAAAACUAAUAAACAGCAGUAAAAA